rnacentral:lncRNA from 1 species
UAUUGUUGGUCGUACAGGCAGUGGGAAGUCUACUCUCAUCGGUGCUUUAUUUCGUCUGGUGGAGCCAGCUGGAGGGAAGAUCACAGUCGAUGGCAUUGACAUCUCUACUAUAGGACUCCAUGAUCUGAGGUCAAGAUUUGGAAUAAUACCUCAAGACCCUACUCUCUUUUAUGGGACUGUUAGAUACAAUUUGGAUCCCCUAUAUCAACAUUCAGACCCUGAGAUAUGGGAGGUAGUACUUGAGUUCAUUAUGCUUGUUGUCUGUAAUGUUCCUUCUUGGUUGAUUAUUCUAAUUAGAGAAUUAUCUUUGCAUUUUAAGGUUCUUGGGAAGUGUCAGCUACGAGAGGCUGUUCAAGAAAAAGAAGGCGGCUUAGACUCUUUAGGUAACGUUUUGGUGUAUCAGUUUUGCUUUUGAACUGUGAUCAGCAAUAUUAUGUCAUGACCUGUUUGCCUCUUCAGUUGUGGAAGAUGGAUCAAACUGGAGCAUGGGGCAAAGGCAGCUGUUCUGUUUGGGCCGAGCUCUAUUGAGAAGAAGUCGCGUAUUGGUGCUUGAUGAAGCAACUGCUUCCAUUGACAAUGCAACUGAUAUGAUCUUACAGAAGACUAUACGCACUGAAUUUGCAGAUUGUACAGUUAUUACAGUAGCUCACAGGAUACCGACUGUGAUGGAUUGCACAAUGGUCCUUGCCAUUAGUGACGGUGAGUUUCAUUGGCUUAAUGCACAGCUAAAGAAAAACCAUGCAUGUUUCUGUAUUUAUCACUGAUAAUGAAGGAAAUGUUAUGAUUUGUUACAGGGAAAAUAGUGGAGUAUGAUGAGCCAAUGAACCUAAUGAAAAGGGAAGGCUCACUAUUCGGGCAGCUUGUCAAGGAAUACUGGUCUCAUCUCCAGUCUGCAGAAGCACAUUGAACGUGACAAUAGCUGCGAUGUAGCCUUUCUGCUACGGUGACAACAGUUGCGCAGCAAUUGCUCGAUGAAGAAGUGAGGUGGGGAGAGUAAUAGCAAGCAACCUGAGGAGUAGGAGAUCAUAUUCGGAGUUCUUCAUGCGGGGUAUUCACUACCUUAUUCCUACAAUGCGAUGAAAAAUAAUGGUUUACUUAGCAUAGAUCAUUGCUAUUUAGAAACUCAGAUCUCUUGUCAGCUCAUAAUCAGUCACCACCAAAGAAUGUAAUCUCCAGUAUAGUGUAUCCACGAUGUACUGUAUUGUAUGUAUCAAGACCAUGAUGAAGAAUGCAAAAUGUAAAAGCAAUUUCCAAACAAGAUGUAGUCCGACAAAUACAAGUAUCAUGCCCCUUGAUCCAAAUAGAAUAGAGAUAUCAGUUACAAGAGUGCGGUUUUACUCACCCCCUUAUAACACAGUUAGCGAUUCUUACUUCUUUAUCGGUUACUAAGUAGGUGAACAUUAUUAUUUUCAAGCCUUAUAUGAUUCUAAGAGGAGAGAAUAUGCCGACUUAUAAAUACGACAAGAAACAAUUACGUGUGCCAUGACGCCAUAUGUGAUUCCGACCAUGGAACAUCAUAAUUUUCCAGCUUGUCCAAAUCAGUUGCACACUAGAAUCCAAUCCCUGUAUGACUCUAAAGCACCACACAUUGCCACAAACUAACCCAGACCCUAAUCACCAAUCUCUGUCAUGAUAUAUGAACCCAAUAACAACUCAUUGUUUUGCAUGAAGCCACAAACUGAGGACCCUUUUCCACAAUUUGACUUGAUUUUGUGCCUCACGUGUUGGAUGAGAAAAUCCUCACACAUCUCAAAAAUCACAGAAAAGUUACUAGUAGUCCUCAAUACGUAUCUUCUUGAUCAAUACUAAUAUGGGAAACCAACUUCGUUGUCAAGCUGAAACGUCAUAGUGGCAUUUCUGGUAGUAAGCCAACCCGCUUAUUGUUGCGAUUUACCAAGUUGUUUGAUUCGUUUUGAGUUCUUGCUUUGUUUUUCUUCCUUGUUUAACUUCAUGUUGCUGUAGUACAGAACAAAACCAAGAGAUUGAUUUUGUACUAUUUAAAUGUCGACUGGAUCUUAACUUAUUGUCACGUGAGUAUUGCGUCACUUAUUUUUUAUACAAGUUGUUGAUCUAUGAUUGCUUCUUUAUUUAGUAUAUGGUUGAAUUUCUGAGCAGUUGAGCUGGUGAGGUCAGAGAGAGUUUGCUGAGUGAUGAACUGGGUGACAUAAUAGAAUCAUAUAGUUUCUGCUACUUUGUGUGGCUCAAGAGAAAAGAAGACCUUCUGUUCUCUUGGGCCAGUUCUCUUUGGUAUGCUCUUUACAUUUCUCUACUCAUUAUGAUAAAAAAAAAAAAAAGAUUUGUUCUUUGAUGCUUUUUGGUUUUGGUUUUGAUGAAUCAAGCUUUAUGGGUUCGGGGUUGUUUUGGUAGUUGAGUUUGUCAUGCAAAUUUUCUUAGUAUAAUUUCUUGUGUUGCAUACUAUGCAGUGUAAGAAGAGCAGUGGAGGCCUACAGUAACUGAAAAGAAUGAUGGAGGAUUUAUGGACUCUGUUUUGUGGGGAAUCUGGAGGUUCAGAGAGUUUGGAUUUUCAGUUUCUGGUUCAUCCUUCUUCAUGCAUUAAUCACGCGUUAAUAAUUUUCCUAGACAUUGUUCUUCUUGUGGUACUCUUGUUCAGUAUGUUUCUCAAGUCAUCAAAAUCAGUUCAUGUUCCAGCACGAUUUCGAGGGUUUUCUGGUUUGCAAAUAGUCUCGAUCAUUUUCAAUGGCGGUCUUGGAUUUGUGUACUUCUGCUUGGGAGCCUGGAUUCUAGAAGAGAAGCUGAGGAAUACUCGGACUGCUUUGCCUUUGAAUCGGUGGUUACUUGGUCUUUUUCAAGGCUUCACAUGGUUGUUUUUGAGCUUAACUCUAAGCCUCAGGGUGAAGCAACUCCCAAGACAGCCUUCAAGACUGUUGUCCAUCCUUGCAUUUUUGUUCUCUGGAGUUGUCUUUGCUCUAUCACUCUUUGCUGUCAUUUUCGGAAAUGAAAUGUCAGUUAAGAUAGUACUGGAUAUCCUGACUUUCCCAGGAGCAGCAUUGUUGCUGCUAUGUGUUUUCAAGGGGUAUAAGUAUGAAGAAGGUGAUGAGAUCAUCAGUGACAAUGGCCUUUAUGCCCCUCUCAAUGGUGAGUCCAAUGGCAUUAGUAAAGGUAAUGAUCAUGCAACCCCAUUCAGCAAAGCUGGUUUAUUCAGUAAAAUGUCAUUUUGGUGGUUAAAUUCAUUGAUGAAAAGAGGUAGGGAGAAAACUCUGGAGGAUGAAGAUAUACCGAAGUUGCGGAAGGAAGAUCGAGCAGAAAGUUGUUAUGAGAUGUUCUUGGAGCAACUAAGCAAGCAGAAACAAAUUGAGCCAUCUUCCCAGCCAUCAGUGUUAAAGAUUAUAAUCCUAUGCCACUGGAAGGAGAUUUUACUAUCUGGUUUCUUUGCUUUGUUGAAGAUACUCACUAUCUGUGCUGGUCCUUUGCUUCUCAAUGCCUUCAUUUUAGUUGCAGAGGGAAAUGAAAGUUUCAAGCAUGAAGGUUAUCUAUUAGCCGGAGCACUUUUUGUGUCGAAAACCAUUGAAUCCUUGUCACAAAGGCAGUGGUACUUCAGGUGCAGGCUCAUCGGUUUGAAAGUUAGGUCUUUGCUGACAGCAGCCAUUUACAAAAAGCAAUUGAGGCUAUCUAAUGCUGCUAAGUUGACACACUCAGGUGGUGAGAUUAUGAAUUAUGUUACAGUAGAUGCUUAUAGAAUUGGAGAGUUUCCAUUUUGGUUCCAUCAGACUUGGACUACUAGCAUCCAGCUCUGUUUCUCUUUGGUGAUUCUUUUCCGUGCAGUUGGCCUAGCUACAUUUGCAGCCUUGGUGGUGAUACUUUUGAGUGUGAUUUGCAAUGCUCCAGUUGCUAAGCUACAACAUAAGUUCCAGAGUAAGCUGAUGAAGGCACAAGAUGAAAGGCUCAAGGCUAUUUCUGAGGCUCUAGUGAAUAUGAAGGUCUUAAAGUUAUAUGCAUGGGAAACACAUUUCAAGAAGGCAAUUGAAAAGUUAAGGAAGGAGGAGCACAAAUGGUUAUCUGCAAUGCUGUUAAGAAGAGCAUAUAGUACUUAUCUCUUUUGGUCAACUCCUGUUCUGGUCUCUACUGCAACAUUUGGGGCAUGCUACCUUCUUAAAAUUCCACUACAUGCAAACAAUGUUUUCACUUUUAUCUCAACUUUGAGACUUGUUCAGGAUCCCAUCCGAACCAUACCUGAUGUUUUUGCGGUUGUGAUUCAAGCCAAGGUCGCAUUUGGUCGUAUUGUGAAAUUCCUUGAGGCACCUGAGCUGCAACCUUCAAAUGUCCGGAAGUGCAACAUGCAGAAUGUAGCUAACUCCAUUGAAAUUAAGUCAGCUAAUUUUUCAUGGGAAGCGAAUGCAGCGAAGCCCAUACUGAGAAAUAUAAAUUUAGAGGUUAGACCAGGUGAAAAGGUGGCUAUAUGCGGUGAAGUCGGUUCUGGUAAAUCAAGCCUUCUAGCUGCAAUUCUUGGAGAAAUUCCAACUGUGCAAGGAAAUGUAAGUUGCUAGUUUUCUCUCCUGUGUUAGCAUGUUAAUCUUUCUAAAUGGGGUCAAUCUAGUUGUAAAUUACUUGAAAAGAACAAUGUACAUUAUAUAACCUUAGCAUUUUCAUUAUCGAAUUUCAGAUUCAAGUUUAUGGGAAGAUUGCCUAUGUUUCUCAAACAGCAUGGAUCCAGUCAGGAACUAUACAGGAAAAUAUUCUCUUCGGUUCUUGUAUGGAUAGUGAACGAUACCGAGAAACACUUGAGAGAUGUUCACUUGUAAAGGACCUUGAGCUACUGCCUUAUGGUGAUCUUACUGAAAUAGGGGAGAGAGGGGUGAAUCUAAGUGGAGGUCAGAAGCAGCGGAUCCAACUUGCACGCGCACUCUAUCAGGAUGCUGAUAUUUAUCUCUUGGAUGAUCCAUUCAGUGCUGUUGAUGCACAUACUGCCACAAACUUAUUUAAUGUAGAUUAACUUUCCAAACUUGUGCUGCGCCUUAUUUGAUUUACUUCUUGCUUAUACUGAAAGCUAACAUAUACAUUGGCAGGAUUAUGUAAUGGAAGCACUUUCAGGCAAGACAGUACUACUUGUGACCCAUCAAGUUGAUUUCCUGCCUGCAUUUGAUUUCGUUUUGGUUAGUCUUCUUUAAUUUUCUGUAUCUUUUGUGUGCAAAACCAAUAUAUUAAUUGUUGGGGGCUUCCUGCAUGUUCUGUGUUAUUCAUGAAUGUUACCAUUAGCAGAGCUGUUUGUCGAAUGCAAUGAUUUUAUAUUUGAAUUUUAUUAACAGUUGAUGAUGGAUGGGGAGAUCCUACAAGCAGCUCCUUAUCAGCAUCUAUUGGCUUUAAGCCAAGAAUUCCAGGACCUUGUCAAUGCACACAAAGAAACUGCUGGUGCCGAAAGGCUUUCAGAUGUCACUUCUGCUCAGAAUUCUGCAAUAUCUUCAAGGGAGAUCAAGAAGAGUUAUGUGGAGAAGCCAUUAAAAGAAAAUAAAGGUGACCAAUUGAUUAAACUAGAAGAGAGAGAAACAGGAGACACAGGUUUUAAGCCAUACAUACUGUAUCUGAAACAGAACAAAGGGUUCUUGUACUUCUCAAUUGCCGUUUGUCUACACUUCACUUUCAUUAUGAGUCAGAUUGCACAGAACUCUUGGAUGGCUGCUAAUGUUGAUAAUCCGAAUAUUAGCACAUUGCGGUUGCUUGUGGUUUACUUAUCGAUUGGAUUCUCCGCUACAUUUAUAUUUCUGUUUAGAUCUCUUGCAGCAGUUGUUGGGGGUCUAGAAACAUCUAAGUCUUUGUUCUCACAACUACUGAACUCCCUUUUCCGUGCACCCAUGUCAUUCUAUGACUCAACACCACUGGGAAGGAUACUUAGUCGGGUAUGCAUUUCAACUAGAAACUUUGGUUUAUAGACUAGGAGGACAUGAAAGAUACUAAUAGCUUUAUCUACUGCAUUGUUUCAUGUUUAGGUUUCAUCUGAUCUGAGUAUCACUGAUCUUGAUAUUCCAUUCAGCAUAGUAUUUGCUUGUGGAGCUACCAUGAAUGCCUAUUGCAAUCUUGGAGUAUUGACUGUUGUUACUUGGCAAGUUCUGUUUGUCUCCAUACCAAUGGUCUGUGUCGCAAUUCAGCUACAGGUAAUGCUAUAUGAGGUUUUUCAUAUAUUAUCUGAAUAUUUGAAAGAGCAGAAGCAAUUGUUUUUGUUUAAAAAGAACAUGAUUUGACUGUUUUGACAUGACAUUUCUUAUUUUCAGAAAUAUUACUUUUCCACUGCAAAAGAGUUGAUGAGGAUCAAUGGAACAACCAAGUCUUUUGUGGCAAACCAUCUCGCAGAGUCCGUCUCAGGUGCCAUUACCAUAAGAGCUUUCAAUGAAGAAGAGCGCUUCUCGGCAAAGAACUUUCAGCUCAUUGACACAAAUGCUAGUCCCUAUUUCCACAGUUUUUCCGCAAAUGAGUGGUUAAUCCAACGAUUAGAGAUAAUCAGCGCCGCGGUUCUUGCCUCUGCAGCACUUUGUAUGGUUUUACUUCCUCAUGGAACUUUCACCUCUGGUAAGCUUCUCUAAACUUUUCUGGAAAGAGCCUUCCUGGAGUUUAAGCAAUCAGGCUAAUGGAUUUUUUUUUUUUGACACUUCUACCAAUGGCUAUAAAUGUUACUGCAGGAUUUAUUGGGAUGGCACUUUCUUACGGUCUAUCAUUAAACGUGUCCUUGAUCAACUCAAUUCAGAACCAGUGCACCAUAGCAAAUUACAUAAUUUCUGUUGAAAGACUAAACCAAUAUAUGAACAUUCCUAGUGAAGCCCCAGAAGUAGUAGAGGGAAACCGUCCACCGGCCAACUGGCCUGUUGUUGGAAAAGUGGAGAUACAAAAUUUGCAGGUAAAUACUGGUGUGUCUUUAGUAUUGAAAACUAAUGUUUAUGUGAAGAAGGUUGCUGAGGCCUAAUUUGAUGUGAAACAGAUAAGAUAUAGGGAAGACACACCGCUUGUUCUUCGAGGUAUCAGCUGUGUUUUUGAGGGAGGGCACAAGAUUGGGAUUGUUGGUAGGACAGGCAGUGGGAAGUCUACACUAAUCGGUGCUCUUUUUCGUCUGGUUGAGCCAGCCGGAGGGAAGAUCAUAGUUGAUGGCAUUGACAUUUGCACUAUAGGACUUCAUGAUCUAAGGUCAAAAUUUGGAAUUAUACCUCAAGACCCUACUCUCUUUAAUGGGACUGUCAGAUACAAUUUGGACCCCUUAUCUCAACAUUCAGACCAGGAAAUAUGGGAGGUGAGGACCAAGUCUGUAAUCUUUGUUUUCUGUAAUGUUGCUUUUUUGUUGUUUGUUUGGACUA